GGUAUUGUGCAGUCUCUGGUGUUGUGGUACAGUCUGUAGAAAUGUUUUCUGCACUUUGGGUUGAAGUAAAGAGGACCUGAGGACAGAACGAAACGCUUCAGAAUACUGGACUCUGAUUGGACGGAAGGUGUGACACAGACACAGUUUUGAGAGAGGACCAGUUGACAUGCCGCUGCAACAGACGCAACUGCUGCAAAGCGAAAUGGCGCUUACGCCCAUCGGCGAAACCUAUUCGGCACGUGCAGACAACCAGCCAGAAAACACACGUUUAGAAAGUUCACGUGAAUUGAUCUGAAGCCUCAGCACCAAAUUAACCACCAUGCAGCUGCUCGAUGUCCUCGCCCGGCAGCCACACGUGUCCUGGUUUCAGUCCUCAACCAGGCAUAAAUAAAAAGCCUCAUAAAUAAAAUGUCUUGUGUCUUGCUUCUCAGAGCUUGAAAGGAAAAACAUAAUAAUAAAAAUAAUAACCACUUGAUAUUCUGUUAUUCCUCCAGGACAGACACACUGCUGCAUCAU